UUAACUCAAAUUUGUAUGGAGUUGGAACGUUUGCCUAUUUUUGCCGCUAGGGGCGCCUUUCCAACUGCAUACAAAUGCGAGUUA
rfam:Bombyx mori DNA, contig: Bm_scaf50_contig26248, strain: p50T/Dazao, build 2, whole genome shotgun sequence.